GUACCUAUUAGGGCUUUAGUGAUAGCUAGACUGGAAAUGGUGGGACUGGGUAUAGAGGAAAGGGUAGAGAGGAGAGCCAGCUUUCUUGAUGGUAGCAGUUCUGAGUAACAGAGAGAGAGAGAGAGAGAGAGAGAGAGAGAGAGAGAGAGAGAAUGAGAGCGUGCCACGCACGGUCAAACAUCCAUUGCCCAAGUUUCAAAGCAGGGACAGCUGUGAAAAUGGAUACCAGACUUUCAACAAUCUCAAGAAGCCUCCAGCAUGGUACCAUACAGAUGAGAACUUCAUGAAGAAGGAUGCUUCUGAGUGAGAUUUAGUCAUCUCCUUGAAGAUACUUUUCUCCUUUGGAAAAGGAAGAACCAAACUUUCCUGAACUUCUCAGGGAGAACAUGGUGGUUGACUUUGUUUCUUCUGUCAAAGGACAUCAUUAUAGUACCAAGGUGACAUCGAGGAGGUUUUAACUCUCCCAAAAAAUUGCACCAGAGGAUUUGGGGAGGUGUAGGAUGUGGGAGCCCGCCCAGAAGCAGGGCGAGUAAUUAUAAAAUGGGUUACAAUGGAAAAAUUGCUCUCUUCUUCAGGGUUACUUGCUCAUCAAAGAACAGCAAGGACUGGGCAUAUGAAAUGCCAAUGGUUUGGCUAAUCAACAUGCCACAGCUUAGCUUGAGUCACUGUACUUGAAUGUGGUUUUGUUUUUGAUGCUGUGUUCUCGUGGGCAUGGAAAGAGUUACAGCCAACUGCCGCAGGUAUGGUAACUAGAGGCAGUGGUGGAAAUGUAAAUGUAAGGACCCUUUGUCUUCUCCCCUCCAGCAGUAGAGAGGACAUAAGAGAGUGGAGAGGGAUUGCACUCUUCUGAUGGACUUUCUCCUGUGAUGCAUAGAAAUGCACGGAUAACAUUAAAAAUAUUUUAAAUUGUAUUUAUUUAUAUAUUUUAGAGAUGGGGUCUUGCUAUGUUGCCCAGGUGGUCUUGAACUCCUGUCCUCAAGUGAUCCUCUUGCCUUGGCUUCCGUGGUACCUGCCUGUAAUCCAAGCUAUGAUCGCUUGAACCCAGGCAUUUGAGAUGAGACUGGGCAACACAGAGAGACCCCCAUCUCUAAAAAUAUAUUGUCUUCUUUUGUGUGACCUGGCCAUCAACAUAUAUUUACGAAAAAGAGAUCUCUCUCUUUUAUUAUCAUAAAGCAUAGAAUGAAUUUUAGAUAGAUUUUGAAUCUCUCUGUGCCUGAAUUUCUCUCAAAAUUAAUAGUGGCUCCUGUUUGAUAAAGCACUAAGUUUUCUUUUGAAAGGUGCACAGAAAACUCUGAAUUGCCUAAAUUAUAAUUUUCUCAACUGUUUGACCCAACCUAUCACUGCUGUAGUAUUCGUUAACAAAGCAUUCUGUUGCCAUGAGUAAGGGAGUUGUUGCUUUUUUUUUUUUUUUAAUCAAUCAAGAACUACAGAUAAAUACUUUUAAAAUCAGACCAUGACUGAGGAAAGAAGGAGUCAACUAGUCAGUUUGAGUCUGUUAUCAGUUAUGCCUGAGAGCGCUCUUUUAUAUCACUCUGAGGAGUAAUGCUGUUUGUUUUCAGCAUGAAAUACAUAAGAGAAAAAAAUUAAGUAGGGAAGAGGAGAAUAAUAUUUGGAUAGGGUAGUUUUAUUAUUUUGCCUGACGUAUUAAGUCCCCUAGCCCUCAGUAUAUCCAGGGAACAUCUAUGCUUAAAGUUAAAUACAAGAUAACUUCCCAAGCCAAGUACAAGUGAUUUAAAAAAAUAAUAAAAUGCCAUAUAGGAUUAUCUACUACAGUUCUCAAGUUGCCCAGGAAAUGUCACAUCUACUGCACGCAGUGUCAGAAACAUAGGUAAAUCCUCCGCCAACAAAUAUUUUGAAUAUAGCAGAAAAACACAGAUGUUUUAGACCUUCUGAGAUGCAUUAAGUCCUGGAAACUGGAAGCCAUAAAAGACAAAAUCGUGGGAGGGGAAUUGCUGGGAGCACCCUGGGAAAGCAGCCACCCUGGAUUUGAAUGACCUCUCUUUGAUCUCCAGCUUUCCCAAGUCACUUUCCCAUGCAUUUCCUCAACACUGGUUUCAGUUCUUUAGAUCUAAUAAAAGCCUUUGGGGUUGGGAGCAUCACUGAGUAGAGUGCUGAUUCAGGCCAAGCUUGGAGGGAGGAGUGGAGCAUUCAAUGUGUUUACAGUAAAGCGUGUGUGUGUGUGUGUGUGUGUGUGUGUGUGUGUGUGUUUAUGAGUAAUAGCAACUUCUCACCACUGUCACAGCCACCAAUGGGAGAUUUAGCUUCCUCCAAGUCAUCUCAAUUAAACAUAUGCUCUAAAUAAAGCAGCAUGCUUGCUGGAGACAGAGCUUCAAAAAGUCCCCUAGAUCGCAUUCCCCUUCCAAACAUUUCGCUGCCCCUUAAGCAUCUCAUAUAUAGAAAUGUUACAGUUGCCUCUUUGUUCAUUUGUUCUUUCAAGGAUUUCCACAUUGUAUUGUUUGAUAAGAAGUGGAAUUAAUACUUUAUACAAAUGUUUGCAUUUCUGUGCUAUUCCUUUCACUUCCUGAU
ensembl:lncRNA